UGAGGAAUAUUGCACAAUGGGCGCAAGCCUGAUGCAGCAACGCCGCGUGAGGGACGAAGGCCUUCGGGCUGUAAACCUCUUUUCUGAGGGACGAGGAAGGACGGUACCUCAGGAAUAAGUCUCGGCUAACUACGUGCCAGCAGCCGCGGUAAAACGUAGGAGGCGAGCGUUAUCCGGAUUUACUGGGCGUAAGGCGCGCGCAGGUGGCUUCGUGAGUCGGACAUGAAAGCUCCUGGCUUAACUGGGAGAGGCUGUUCGAUACUGCGGGGCUUGAGGUUGGGAGAGGGACGCGGAAUUCCCGGUGUAGUGGUGGAAUGCGUAGAUAUCGGGAGGAACACCAGUGGCGCAAGCGGCGUCCUGGCCCACACCUGACGCUGAGGGGCGAAAGCGUGGGUAGCAAACAG
rnacentral:rRNA from 1 species